AAGUUUAAAUAAUUUAAAUAAAAAUAUUGAUUUUGUAAAUCAAAUUUGGAAAUUCCUUUAACUUA
rnacentral:tRNA from 1 species